GAAGGGAUUUCCUCUGAGAUUUCCUCACCCGGCUGAGCAGUUCUUUUCCUGCAGAAACACAAAGAGGAUGCCUUCUUGGAACAGUAAAAACAAGUCUUCAAUGAACAGAACUAAGUGACAGCUCGUGAUGGCUAACAGUGUCUAAGAAGAUGACAGAAGAUGUAAUAACCUAAGAGACCCAGUUCUUCUGAACUUUAGCUGCUUCAUCACACGAGGUGGGAAUAAACAACACCCACCUCACAAGAUUGCUAAGAAGAUUAAGGAGAGCUGUGACUAAGCUUAAUUCUCAUUGAAAAUAAACCUAAAGUCAUGGUUUUGUUACUAUUUGAAAUAUUUAUGUGGGUUGAAAUGCUCAGAAAAUAAUUUCUUAUUUAUGCAACGAAUCCAAAUUAAAUUUUUU